CGGCGAGUGAAGCGGCAACAGCUCAAAUUUGAAAUCUGGCGCAAGCCCGAGUUGUAAUUUGUAGAGGAUGCUUCUGGGCAGCGGCCGUUCUAAGUUCCUUGGAACAGGACGUCAUAGAGGGUGAGAAUCCCGUAUGUGACCGGCGCGCACCCUCCACGUAGCUCCUUCGACGAGUCGAGUUGUUUGGGAAUGCAGCUCUAAAUGGGAGGUAAAUUUCUUCUAAAGCUAAAUACCGGCCAGAGACCGAUAGCGCACAAGUAGAGUGAUCGAAAGAUGAAAAGCACUUUGGAAAGAGAGUUAAACAGCACGUGAAAUUGUUGAAAGGGAAGCGCUUGCAACCAGACUUGGCGGCGGUGUUCCGCCGGGCUUCUGCCCGGUCCACUCGCCGCCGCCAGGCCAGCAUCAUCUGGGGCCGCCGGAUAAGACGCGGGGAAUGUGGCUCCCUCGGGAGUGUUAUAGCCCCUCGUGAUGCGGCGCGCCCCGGGUGAGGUCCGCGCUUCGGCAAGGAUGCUGGCGUAAUGGUUGUCAGCGGCCCGUCUUGAAACACGGACCAAGGAGUCUAACAUCUAUGCGAGUGUUCGGGUGUCAAACCCUUGCGCGUAAUGAAAGUGAACGGAGGUGAGAACUUCGGUGCAUCAUCGACCGAUCCUGAUGUCCUCGGAUGGAUUUGAGUAAGAGCAUAGCUGUUGGGACCCGAAAGAUGGUGAACUAUGCCUGGAUAGGGUGAAGCCAGAGGAAACUCUGGUGGAGGCUCGCAGCGGUUCUGACGUGCAAAUCGAUCGUCAAAUUUGGGUAUAG
rnacentral:rRNA from 1 species